rnacentral:rRNA from 1 species
UACGGGGGGAGCAAACGUUGUUCGGAAUUACUGGGCGUAAAGCGCACGUAGGCGGCUUUGUAAGUUAGAGGUGAAAGCCCGGGGCUCAACUCCGGAAUUGCCUUUAAGACUGCAUCGCUAGAAUUGUGGAGAGGUAAGUGGAAUUCCGAGUGUAGAGGUGAAAUUCGUAGAUAUUCGGAAGAACACCAGUGGCGAAGGCGACUUACUGGACACAUAUUGACGCUGAGGUGCGAAAGCGUGGGGAGCAAACAGG